rnacentral:rRNA from 1 species
CUGCUGCCUCCCGUAGGAGUUUGGGCCGUGUCUCAGUCCCAAUGUGGCCGUCCACCCUCUCAGGCCGGCUACUGAUCGCUGCCUUGGUGGGCCGUUACCCCGCCAACUAGCUAAUCAGACGCGGAUCCAUCGUAUACCACCGGAAUUUUUCACACUGCCCCAUGCGGAGCCGUGCGCUUAUGCGGUAUUAGCACCUAUUUCUAAGUGUUAUCCCCCGGUAUACGGCAGGUUAUCCACGCGUUACUCACCCGUCCGCCAA